rnacentral:misc_RNA from 1 species
AACGCACAUUGCGCCCGGUAGUAAUCUGCCGGGCAUGCCUGUCCGAGCGUCAUUUCUCCCCUCGAGCGCGGCUUCACGGCCUGUCGCUCGGUGUUGGGGCGCUACGGUGGGAGCCCCGCGCUCCCCUGUAGGCCCCGAAAUGUAGUGGCGGUCCCGCCGCGGCGCCCCCUGCGUAGUAGUCUUACAACUCGCAUCGGGACCCGGCGGAGGCCAGCCGUCAAACCCCCAACUUCAAUAGUUUGACCUCGGAUCAGGUAGGGUUACCCGCUGAACUUAA